rnacentral:rRNA from 1 species
AAGGAAUAUUGGGCAAUGGACGGAAGUCUGACCCAGCCAUGCCGCGUGCAGGAAGACGGCCCUCUGGGUUGUAAACUGCUUUUAGCAGGGGAUAAAGACGUAUACGAGUUAUAUGUUUGAAGGUACCUGUUGAAUAAGCAUCGGCUAACUCCGUGCCAGCAGCCGCGGUAAUACGGAGGAUGCGAGCGUUAUCCGGAUUCAUUGGGUUUAAAGGGUGCGCAGGCGGACUAAUAAGUCAGCGGUGAAAUACUACGGCUUAACUGUAGCUGUGCCGAUGAUACUGUUAGACUAGAGAUUAAAUGAGGUUGGCGGAAUGUGUCAUGUAGCGGUGAAAUGCAUAGAUAUGACACAGAACACCGAUAGCGAAGGCAGCUGACCAAUUUAUAUCUGACGCUCAUGCACGAAAGCGUGGGGAUCAAAC